UUGUAAGUUUAUCGUUCUUUCUCGCGUUAAUUCGUGUCUGGUUAGCCAGGGAGAGAUAAAAGUUUUCGAACUAAAUCAAUUGUUGUGAACGGGGUUUCCCAUUGAUAACAAAAAACAUGGCGGCUAUUUGUUAGUAGGUCCCGCUUCAAGAUUUCAAAAUCAUCAAACGUUCCAGAAAUGCAACAACUGUAAAAACUUUCAUCGCUGUUUUGUUCAUAUGGAUGGGAACAAACACAUGUGUAUGCAUUUUUGAAUAUAAAAGUUUUGUGGCGGUACUUGGCAAGCAAUUUUCUCACACUUUACUGUGGCUAUUGGUGCUGAUCUUGAACUAAAGGUAAAUGGAACAGCAUGGAUGUGGAUUUUUAGACACAAGGAAGCUGAAUUUAACUUUUAAUGAAGAAUUUAAAUGAUGAUUGUCCAUGAAAAGAAAUAUUAAUCAUAUACAUUGUAAUGCUGUAUUGAUGCAUCUUCUGUUUUAAGUAAUUAAAAAACCAUCCAUUUAUGAAAUUCUUUUCAUUUUUUUUUUCAAUUUUAAAACUGUAGUUCUGUUUUGUUAUUUGAAAACAAUGAUGAAAGUAUACUGAACUGCCAUUGAGAUAUUAAUAUAAAUGCUAUUGUUUAUAGUUUAAUUCUUUCAGAAGCAACUAUAUUGACAUCAAAACUGAAUCUUUAUUGUACACUAAGUAUAAAAGCUUACCCGCAAACCAGUCCAUGUCAACAAUUUAUUGACAUUCAAACAUUAAAUUUUUUUAAAGGUGAUUUUUCUUAAAUAAAACAGACUACUUUCAUAUGGGAUAAGAAACAUUUAAUUUUGAAAUUGAUUGGUUUAUUAAAUUUUAAUGGAGCUGAAACUAAAA